CAUUCAAAAAUGUGUGUAGUUUAUGUGAACAUCAUUACUACCAGAUAUAUGUGUUUUAUGUCUUUUCAUGUGUUUUGACCAUCUCAUUUCCAAAUGUGUUAAUGUCAGUGUUAUGUUUUUAAAUGUAAUUAGAAAAGUGUUUCCAUGGUGCCAUAGUCAUAAAUUGUGUGAUGUUAAAAACAUUUUUAACACCAUUUCAGCAUCUCAUAAAAUGUCACCGUUACAUACGUAUAACAAUGUAAUCACAAACUUAUUUUGCUGUUUUUUCCAGACAAGUAAAAAAAAUGGCUGACCAUAAAAAGUAUAUGAAGGUUACUCGAGGAGGACCCACCUACAGAUUUAGACCUAAGGGAUUACGAAGAUGAAAUUUCCAAAAUACUUGGUCCAGACACAAUAACUGGCAUGGAAGGAAAUUUUGACACAGAUGCAACAGGACCAGCCAACACACAGGAGUCUGACAACCAACAGCAUAGUGAA